rnacentral:rRNA from 1 species
UAAUCCGACCUAGGCUCAUCUGAUAGCGCAAGGCCCGAAGGUCCCCUGCUUUCUCCCGUAGGACGUAUGCGGUAUUAGCGUUCCUUUCGAAACGUUGUCCCCCACUACCAGGCAGAUUCCUAGGCAUUACUCACCCGUCCGCCGCUGAANUCAGGAGCAAGCUNCUGUCAUCCGCUCGACUUGCAUGUGUUAAGCACGCCGCCAGCGUUCAAUCUGAGCCAGGAUCAAACUCU